GAGAGUACGCUGUCUUGUGCAAAAGGUGAGCACUUUUGUGAUAAACCUGAUUUUACUGAAUCUGUAAUUUCAGAAUUAAAUGAACGUUCUAUAAGAAUGAAGAAUAUCAUACUUUUUGGCGUUAAUGAAGCUACUUCUUUGAAUGCUCAAGAAAGGUUCAAAACUGGUUUUGAGAA